GGCAGGAUUUAGGAAUCUAUUUGAAAUAUUCAUUACCUAUUUUGAAUUGGUCUUAAAAAUUUAAAGGAAUGUAAAGCUGGAUAAUUAAAAAUUAAAAAAAGGAAGAAUACAAGGUUUCUAUGCUAUGAAGCAACUGAGAUUAUUAUGAUUUUGGGGCAGUGAAUUUGUUUCUAGAAGUUUUGUUGGAACUAAGGCAAAAAGUUACUCCACUUAACCACUAUGAAUGAUAGUCUUGUCUCACCAACCCCAGCCCAUCGUCUGUUGGACUUGGAGGUCACACUUUAAAAAAGAAGAUCAUUCUAACUGCCCCUCAUGACUACUGAAGAGGUUAUGCCUGAAAAAGCAAAAUGUCCUACAUUAGAGAUCAUCAAGCAAGACUUUUAUCAAGAAGCAAAAACUCUCAUUGCCCAACAUUAUGAGAAAAUAAAUGAUAAUAAAGUUCAAGGUACUUCUAUAAAUGUUUUUAGAAAGAAACACCGAAAACCGAAAUCUGGCAAAUAUAUACCUUUGGAGAUUGACAAAAAGGAAACACGUGAUGUGGUGCAAGAACAUCGGGCAGCACUCAGAAGGAUUUGCUUUCCCAAGGAGCUUUCCAAAAGUGAACAUCUUCAGGAACCCCCACAACGAAUCUCCUUCAAGGAACCACACAUUUUUAGUAGAAGAGAAAGAUGCAGGCCCAUAGAUCUAAUUACAAAAGGACAAGUUAAAUUGGAUAAAAUCAUGACUAUUAUUGAACCAGUGAGUAAAAAAAUGGAGACAGCAAAGCAACAGCACUUUGAGGAGUCCAGAAACAGAAUGUUGGAAUUAUUCUAUCCCUUUCCUGUCCAUCUUUACUUACAACCUGGGACCUCUACCUUGGCACUUCUGAAAGAACCUGACAAAGCAUUCUAUGACUGGAGAGGAUUUGUGCCGACAAGGUCUUUCCGUUUAGCUUGUGACUCUGGUCGAGUUAGUUUCUCUCAAUCAUCAUCAAUAUUUCAGGAUUCUAAAACCUUUAAAACCUUUAUUAAAAAGGAGCGACAACCUAUCAAGCCAGAACCAAAAUCACGACCCAGGAUAAAAGGUACUCCAAAUGAAACUGAUAAACUUGACAGUAAAGUUAAAAGAAUUGGACCACACAUAGAAAUCUUCCAAGUGUUCCGAGAAAGAAAAAAAUUCGUGAUUACCCCAAAAUUGAUUAGAAUGGUCACCAUCAUGCAGGCACAUGUCAGGGGAUGGCUUGAACGGAAAAGAUUGCAAAGAGUAAUGACCAAGGCUUUGGAUCAUGGACCAGAUAUGAAAGCAGUUAUUAACAUGUAUGGCAGACUAAUCCACCGUGUUAGAUAUCGACAUGGUCUUUGGAGGACAAGACAAAUUGUCAACUUAGCAGAGCUAGAGGAAUGGAUGGACCGAAAAAAAUUCUAUGAAAUAAUGUUUGCUAAGAGGGAAGAUUGGCCAAAAAUUGAAAGAAGUGAGCUCCCCAGUUUCUUCAGUGACUGUGGUCAUUUCCCAUCUCAGAAACAAAUUGAUGAUACUUGGGACCUGGUCCAUCAAGAUGGCAAAGAAAAAUAUUCUGAACUAAUCAAAAAGUCCAAAGCAAUUGAAAUGUUAUUUACACUCUAUCCUCCUGAAGGUGCACACGUGCCUGACAGUACACUACUCAAGUCAACUUGGUUGAGACCCAUAGUAAAUGGGGAAGAAGGUUAUAGAUAUAUAGUCAUCCUGAUGGGCUCCCAAAGUGAAGUUUGUAGCCUUUAUUUGACAGCAGACUAUCUCAGUUGUCCUCAGGAUCAGGAGUCUCACAAGGAGAGUCACGCAGAAAAUAGAGGAAAGGAUGCAAACACACGGAGGAGAUGGAAAAGUACACAGGGAGCAGAGAUUUGAGUAAUACAGCCACGUGGAAUGCCGGAAGCCACCAGAAGUUGCAAGAGUCUAAAAAAAAGCAGAAGCUGGAAGAGCCAAGGUAGGCUAGGGCAGAACUCUUGGAGCAGAGAUGAUAACAAUAAACUCAGAACAAUGCUUGUCCUUUAUUAAUGAUCCCAGAGAGACAAGGACAGUACCUUUUACAAAGCCAGUUGGAAGGGGCAUGGACACUCAACCAGCAGGUGAGGAGCAAGA